GGUUUAAGUUUUAGCUCAGCUGGUACAGUACCAGCUUUUAACCGUAUGGUCGUGGGUUCGAUUCCCACACAGACGGCG